UUAUCGGAUUCAUUGGGUUUAAGGGUGCGUAGGCGGACUAUUAAGUCAGUGGUGAAAUCCUGCAGCUUAACUGCAGAACUGCCAUUGAUACUGAUAGCCUUGAGUUUGGUUAAGGUAGGCGGAAUGUGUAAUGUAGCGGUGAAAUGCUUAGAUAUUACACAGAACACCAAUUGCGUAGGCAGCUUACUGAGCCGACACUGACGCUGAGGCACGAAAGCGUGGGGAUCGAACAGGAUUAGAUACCCUGGUAGUCCACGCCGUAAACGAUGAUUACUCGCUGUUGGCGAUACACUGUCAGCGGCUAAGCAAAAGCAAUAAGUAAUCCACCUGGGGAGUACGGCCGCAAGGUUGAAACUCAAAGGAAUUGACGGGGGCCCGCACAAGCGGAGGAACAUGUGGUUUAAUUCGAUGAUACGCGAGGAACCUUACCUGGGCUUAAAUGUAGAGUGCAUUUUCUAGAGAUAGGAAUUCCCUUCGGGGCUUUCUGCAAGGUGCUGCAUGGUUGUCGUCAGCUCGUGCCGUGAGGUGUCGGGUUAAGUCCCAUAACGAGCGCAACCCUUAUCGUUAGUUGCCAUCUGGUAAAGCAGGGGACUCUAGCGAAACUGCCACCGUAAGGUGAGAGGAAGGUGGGGAUGACGUCAAAUCAGCACGGCCCUUAUGUCCAGGGCUACACACGUGUUACAAUGGUCGGUACAGAGGGCAGCUACCUGGUGACAGGAUGCUAAUCUCGAAAACCGGUCUCAGUUCGGAUCGAAGUCUGCAACUCGACUUCGUGAAGCUGGAUUCGCUAGUAAUCGCGCAUCAGCCAUGGCGCGGUGAAUACGUUCCCGGGCCUUGUACACACCGCCCGUCAAGCCAUGGAAGCUGGGGGUGCCUGAAGUCCGUAACCGAAAGGAGCGGCCUAGGGUAAAACUAGUGACUGGGGCUAAGUCGUAACAAGGUAGCC
rnacentral:rRNA from 1 species